GACGAACGCUGGCGGCGUGCUUAACACAUGCAAGUCGAGCGGAAAGGCCACUUCGGUGGUACACGAGCGGCGAACGGGUGAGUAACACGUGAGUAAUCUGCCCUUGGCUUUGGGAUAGCCACCGGAAACGGUGAUUAAUACCGGAUAUGACCACUCUAGGCAUCUAGUGGUGGUGGAAAGUUUUUCGGCCAGGGAUGUGCUCGCGGCCUAUCAGCUUGAUGGUGAGGUAAUGGCUCACCAUGGCUUCGACGGGUAGCCGGCCUGAGAGGGUGACCGGUCACACUGGGACUGGGACACGGCCCAGACUCCUACGGGAGGCAGCAGUGGGGAAUAUUGGACAAUGGGCGGAAGCCUGAUCCAGCAACGCCGCGUGAGGGAUGACGGCCUUCGGGUUGUAAACCUCUUUCGGUAGGGACGAAGCGUGAGUGACGGUUCCUACUAAAGAAGCACCGGCCAACUACGUGCCAGCCGCCGCGGUAAAAC
rnacentral:rRNA from 1 species